CCCCUAGUGAGCCUUUACUGUGCAAAUUCGCUGAUGGAGGACAAAAGAAGCGACAGAAUCAAAGUAAAUACACCCAGAAUGGAAGGCCUUGGCCCAGGGAAGGAGAGGCUGGCAUGGCCCUGACCUAUGACCCCACAGCUGCCAUACAGAAUGGAUUUUAUUCUUCACCGUACAGUAUUGCAACCAACCGCAUGAUUCCACAGACAUCCAUCACGCCAUUCAUUGCUGCUUCCCCUGUCUCCACAUAUCAGGUCCAGAGUACUUCAUGGAUGCCUCAUCCGCCAUACGUUAUGCAACCAACAGUAAGUG